AGGUCUUGCCUGCCCAGUGACAAGUUAAACGGCCGCGGUAUUUUGACCGUGCGAAGGUAGCGCAAUCACUUGUCUUUUAAAUGAAGACCUGUAUGAAUGGCGGAACGAGGGCUUAACUGUCUCCCCUUUCAAGUCAAUGAAAUUGAUCUGCCCGUGCAGAAGCGGACAUACCCUUACAAGACGAGAAGACCCUUUGGAGCUUAAGAUACAAGAUCAACUAUGUCAAGAGCCCCCAAAAUCAAGUUAAACUCAAUAGCACCUGAUCUCUAUCUUCGGUUGGGGCGACCACGGGAGAAAAUAAAGCUCCCAUGCGGACUGGGGUAAACCCCCAAAACUAAGAAGGACACUUCUAAGUCACAGAAUAUCUGACCACAAAGAUCCGGCCACCGGCCGAUCAACGGACCAAGUUACCCUAGGGAUAACAGCGCAAUCCCCUUUCAGAGUCCAUAUCGACAAGGGGGUUUACGACCUCGAUGUUGGAUCAGGACAUCCUAAUGGUGCAGCCGCUAUUAAGGGUUCGUUUGUUCAACGAUUAAAGUCCUACGUGAUCU
rnacentral:rRNA from 1 species